rnacentral:rRNA from 1 species
GACGAACGCUGGCGGCGUGCUUAACACAUGCAAGUCGAACGGUAAGGCCCUUCGGGGUACACGAGUGGCGAACGGGCGAGUAACACGUGGGUGAUCUGCCCUGCACUUCGGGAUAAGCCUGGGAAACUGGGUCUAAUACCGGAUAGGACCACUGCCGGCAUGGGUGGUGGUGGAAAGCUUUUGCGGUGCGGGAUGGGCCCGCGGCCCAUCAGCCUGUUGGUGGGGUGAUGGCCUACCAAGGCGACGACGGGUAGCCGGCCUGAGGGGGGGACCGGCGAUAUAGGGGCUGGGAUACGGCCCAGCCGGCUGCGGGAGGCAGUGGUGGGGAAUAUUGCACAAUAGGCGCAAGCGUGAUGCAGCGGCGCCGCGGGGGGGAUGACGGCCGUCGGGUUGGAAGCCUCUUUCAGCACCGACGAAGCGAAAGUGACGGUAGGUGCAGAAGAAGGACCGGCCAACUACGUGGCAGCAGCCGCAGUAU